AUUGAACGCUGGCGGCAGGCCUAACACAUGCAAGUCGAACGCGUCGCGCACGGGUGUGUGAUGUCUGGGUCAAUCCCUGAUGGUGGGGGAUAACUACUGGACACGGUAGAUAAUACCGCAAACCAGCGGAAGUGCCCAGAUGGGUUUAGAUAGUUGGUGGGGUAAGGGCUCACCUAGGCGACGAUCCCUAGCUGGUCGGAGAGGAUGAUCAGACACACUGGAACUGAGACACGGCCCAGACUACUACGUGAGGCAGCAGUGGGGAAUAUGGUAUAAUGGGCGAAAGCCUGAUGUAGCCAUGCCGAGUGUAUGAAGAAGGCCAUAGGGUUGUAAAGUACUUUCAGCGGGGAGGCGUUACCCUCAGAAGAAGCACCGGCUAACUCCGUGCCAGCAGCCGCGGUAAUUC
rnacentral:rRNA from 1 species